rnacentral:rRNA from 1 species
UCGGGAAUUUUGGGCAAUGGGCGAAAGCCUGACCCAGCAACGCCGCGUGAAGGAUGAAGUAUUUCGGUAUGUAAACUUCGAAAGAAUAGGAAGAAUAAAUGACGGUACUAUUUAUAAGGUCCGGCUAACUACGUGCCAGCAGCCGCGGUAAUACGUAGGGACCAAGCGUUGUUCGGAUUUACUGGGCGUAAAGGGCGCGUAGGCGGCAAUUCAAGUCAUCUGUGAAAUCUCCGGGCUUAACUCGGAACGGUCAGAUGAUACUGCUUUGCUAGAGUGCAGAAGGGGCAAUCGGAAUUCUUGGUGUAGCGGUGAAAUGCGUAGAUAUCAAGAGGAACACCGGUGGCGAAGGCGGCCAACUGGACGAAUACUGACGCUGAGACUCGAAAGCGUGGGGAGCAAACAGGAUUAGAUACCCUAGUAGUCCCUGAGCGGGCUGGCAAGGCGCAU